UACAGAGGUGGCAAGCGUUGUUCGGAAUUACUGGGCGUAAAGGGCGCGUAGGCGGCCUUCUAAGUCAGACGUGAAAUCCCCCGGCUUAACCGGGGAACUGCGUCUGAUACUGGAUGGCUUGAGUUUGGGAGAGGGAUGCGGAAUUCCAGGUGUAGCGGUGAAAUGCGUAGAUAUCUGGAGGAACACCGGUGGCGAAGGCGGCAUCCUGGACCAACACUGACACUGAGGAGCGAAAGCCAGGGGAGCAAACGGG
rnacentral:rRNA from 1 species